GCCCUUGUGGUGGAACAGGUAGACACGCCGGUCUCAGAAGCUGGUGACGCAAGUUGUGCAGGUUCGAGUCCUGCCAAGGGCA
rnacentral:tRNA from 1 species